GGGAAUGUGGCUUAGUGGUGGAGCACUUGCCUAGCAUGUGCAAGGCCCUAGGUUCAAUUCCUAGCGCUA
rnacentral:tRNA from 1 species